AUUGAACGCUGGCGGCAUGCUUUACACAUGCAAGUCGAACGGUAACAGGCCGCAAGGUGCUGACGAGUGGCGAACGGGUGCGUAAUGCAUCGGAACGUGCCCAGUCGUGGGGGAUAACUACUCGAAAGAGUAGCUAAUACCGCCUACGAUCUAUGGAUGACAGCGGGGGACCGUAAGGCCUCGCGCGAUUGGAGCGGCCGAUGUCAGAUUAGGUAGUUGGUGGGGUAAAGGCUCACCAAGCCCACGAUCUGUAGCUGGUCUGAGAGGACGACCAGCCACACUGGAACUGAGACACGGCCCAGACUCCUACGGGAGGCAGCAGUGGGGAAUUUUGGACAAUGGGCGCAAGCCUGAUCCAGCAAUGCCGCGUGCAGGAAGAAGGCCUUCGGGUUGUAAACUGCUUUUGUACGGAACGAAACGGCUCUGGUUAAUACCCGGGGCUAAUGACGGUACCGUAAGAAUAAGCACCGGCUAACUACGUG
rnacentral:rRNA from 1 species